CUCACAUGAUCAAUACUACUGCUAUUGCACUUGUGUCUAAGGUUAGAGCUCCUACAACUGUUAAAGAUUAUAGACCUAUUGCCUGCUGUACCACUAUCUAUAAAAUCAUUUCCAAAGUUAUUACAAGGAGGAUGAAAACUGUUAUUGGUGGUUUAGUUGGACAAGCUCAGUCAGCUUUUAUUGAAGGGAGAAGCAUUGUUGAUAAUAUUUUGCUUAGUCAUGAAAUCUUCAAGGGUUAUUCAAGUAACGAAGUAUGAAGGGAGAAGCAUUGUUGAUAAUAUUUUGCUUAGUCAUGAAAUCUUCAAGUGUUAUUCAAGAAAAGGAGUAUCCCCCAGAUGUGUCCUGAAGGUGGAUUUGAGGAAGGCCUAUGACACCCUUGAAUUGGGCUUCCUUAAACAGAUUCUUAUUGAUGUUGGCUUCCCUGCAAAGUUUAUUAACUGGAUAAUGGCUUGUGAUACUUCUGUUUCCUAUUCUUUAGUGUUGAAUGGUGGUCUAACUAAGCCUUUCA
rnacentral:lncRNA from 1 species